CAAUCGGCCCUUUUCAGGGCCACCACCAUAAUUUAUCAUAAGACA
rfam:Lasius niger Lnig_2.1_10237, whole genome shotgun sequence.